UUCCUGCAGGAGAGAAGGGGGUUCAGCAACCAGGGGCCUCCGUGGCCAUGGGCCUGCCGCCCUCCCUCCCGGAGGCCCCCAGGGCUGGGUGCUGUGCUUCGCCUCGAGGGGCCUCAGUGCCUGCGAGGGCUGCUCACACACAGGGGAAGGGCCAAGCAACAAGCACAUACGCACGACUUGUGUCUCCUGCGUGGAGUCUCCCAGGGAUCUGCAGUCUUCCAGAGCCCCCAGCCUGUGGACCAUUGUAUCCAAAGUGCUGGGCCAGCCUGCCAGCUUAGGCCACACCCCUCCUUCAGAUGGGGUGCCUGCUGCCAGAUCUGCAAGCUCAUUCUGGGAAGAAGCUGUUCUCAUCACCCCUGACAGAGUUGCCCUGAGCAUUUUCACAGGAUAGGUUGUCUGGUAAAAGGCACGUGUUGGCAAGUAUUCGAAGACAUGAACUCAACUUCCCAUUUUAGGGGCACGUUCCUAGGGGCACGUGUAUACAUGACUGUUGUGGGGGGGUCCACCUCACACCCGCUGUGGGUGCCUGAGCGUGUACAGGCUGCCCUUCACCCAGCCCCAGUCCUGAGGGUGAGACCAGGGCCAGCUUUGGGGGAGGGCUAUGCCGUUACAGGGUCACGGGGGUCACUGGAAUAAGGGACCCUUUAAAGUGUCUCACAAAGAGCCAAUAUUUACUUUCCCACUGUAAACUCAGAUUACGGCCUCUAACUUCAUCCCUGGCGAGAAAAGCCAGUGGCCAGAUCUGCAGGAGUUCCGGAAGUGCCUGGAAGCCGAGGCAGGACGGGUAGCCUGGCCCACCCUCCCGAGCAGCCUGUGUCAAGAUCAGGGAGGGCUUAUUCAGAUGCAGUUUGCUGGGCUCUGUCCAGGGAAUCGGACUGGGCAGGUCGAGGGCACACCCUUUGAGAACCACUGUUCUGUAUGGAGCCAGCAAGGAGGUUUUAAUCUGAGCUCACAGGGUGGGCCCCAAGGUUAAGAACCUAGAAGUGAGGGAGAAAAGGUGGGGAUCGAAGGCUCUAGGCCCGUAGUAUCAGUAUCUGUCAGCCCUACUGUUAAUGGAGCACGGGCUGGUCUCUUUCAAGGUUGUUGGGUACAAGUGAAUUUGACUUAUUUCCAGGAGAACCUCUUAUUGACAAACCCAUCCCUCUGUCCUAGGCAACCACAGCCUAAAGAAAAAAUGCAGCCAAGGGACCGUAGCUGUUCUGGACCACGCAGGCCGCCAGGAAGGAGUGGGGAAGCUUUUCUUUUAAGAGACCCUUAAAUGGUGUUGCAAAGUGACGUUCAACAUAGGCUCUUGGCAAAAGAGAACAGGAUUUAAAAGCACAGACCGGAAGUGUGGACGGCACCCAGACCAACACGUGUCAUCACAUACCUCUGGAUGUCUCUCACUUUGGCAGUGAAGUGGCACUCAGCGUACAGGAUGGCUCAAAAACAGCCUUAGCUGACCGUGCACAAGUCAGAGCUCCACGAUUAUGGGCUAAGUAUGCAGCUAAGUAUAAUGACCUCACAAGCCACGAUGUGCCCUUACCUGCCGCUGCCAAUGGACGGGAACGCGAUGGACUUGAGCUUCUUAUCGUCUGCCAGGGCCAGACAGUUCUUCACCGUCUUUUCCAGAAGUUCCUCACACUUGUCGGCACCCCAGACCGGACUGUUACAGUGGAUCACAAACUUGGCAGGCAGGCCGUGACCUGCGCUGACAGCAGCUGGGGGAGACAAGACAGGAACAGUGAGUUCUGUCCCUCACACACCCAACACAGCGCCCUCCAGCUGCAGCGCGCCCCCAGGCUCCCCUGUGGCCUGCAUCCAGGGAGCGCUGCAGCUGCCUGCCAUCUUGUGCUUCUGAUGUCCCCCUAGAAACUGCUCACCAGCGAGUCUUCUCGGGAAACACCAGGCCAAGGGCCACCCUUGGAAAGCUGGCAUUGAGAUGCACCGCCACUAAGAAUUUUAGCCAAGAUUACAGCCAGCCCUCUCUGUACAUCCUCCCAGAGGCGGACCCUGAACCACCUAACUUGACUGACUGUGUCAGAAUGUUUGCAGCCUCAAAUUCGCCUCUGGGGAUCUCUAAGCCCCCUUCCUCCUGUGAACUCCUGUACACAUAAUUAUGACGUGUCUAUAAAUCUCCCCGGCAGAGUUCAGGAUAAACCUAUUAGGAAAGCAACUCCAUUUAAUGAGCCACUAAGCAACAUGACUGGCAGCUCUGGUGCCCGCCUCUCCUCCUGAACUGAUCUUCGUUUUUGACAGAAUUAAAUUGUUCUUUCACGCUGGAA